rnacentral:rRNA from 1 species
GUGAACGCUGGCGGUAGGCCUAACCCCUGCAAGUCGAACGGCAGCACAGUAAGAGCUUGCUCUUACGGGUGGCGAGUGGCGGACGGGUGAGGAAUACAUCGGAAUCUACUUUUUCGUGGGGGAUAACGUAGGGAAACUUACGCUAAUACCGCAUACGACCUACGGGUGAAAGCCGGGGAUCUUCGGACCUUGCGCGAUUGAAUGAGCCGAUGUCGGAUUAGCUAGUUGGCGGGGUAAAGGCCCACCAAGGCGACGAUCCGUAGCUGGUCGGAGCGGAUGAUCAGCCACACUGAAACUGAGACACGGUCAAGACUCAUACGGGAGGCAGCAGUGGGGAAUAUUGGACAAUGGGCGAAAGCCUGAUCCAGCCAUACCGCGUGGGUGAAGAAGGCCUUCGGGUUGUAAAGCCCUUUUGUUGGGAAAGAAAAGCAGCAGGUUAAUACCCCGCUGUUCUGACGGUACCCAAAGAAUAAGCACGGGCUAACUUCGU